rnacentral:antisense_RNA from 1 species
UGUGGGAGCUGGCUUGCCUGCGAUGACGGUGUGCCAGCCGACAAAGAUGUUGCCUGGCAGUCAGCUAUCGCAGGCAAGCCAGCUCCCACA